AGUAAUAGAUAGGAACGUGUCCGGGAGUGGGGGAUAACUAGCCGAAAGGUUAGCUAAUACCGCAUAUUCUCUACGGAGGAAAGCAGGGGAACCGCAAGGUCCUUGCGCUCGCGGAGUGGCCUAUCUCCGAUUAGCUAGUUGGUGAGGUAAAGGCUUACCAAGGCGACGAUCGGUAGCUGGUCUGAGAGGAUGAUCAGCCACACUGGGACUGAGACACGGCCCAG
rnacentral:rRNA from 1 species